rnacentral:ncRNA from 1 species
AUUGAGAGAACCAUGUUGAAGGAACUCGAAAAAAUGACUCCAUAACUUCAGGAGAAGGUGUGCUCUCCUAUAUUUUGAUUAGGAAAGCGGCACAUAAUAGGGGGUAGCGAGUGUUUAUUAAAAACACAAGACUCUGCUAAGUGGUACCACAAUGUAUAGAGUAUGACACCUGCCAGGUGCUUGAAGGUCAAAAAGUAAAGUGUUAUAAUCUUUGAAUGGAAGCCUCGGUAAUCGGCGGCAGUACCUCUAACUGUCCUAAGGUAGCAAAAUUCCUUGUCAUAUAAGUAGCGACCUGCACGAAUGGUGUAAAGACUUCCCUGCUGUAUACAACAUGGACCCA